UACCAGAAGUAGGUAGCUUAACCGCAAGGAGGGCGCUUACCACGGUAGGAUUCGUGACUGGGGUGAAGUCGUAACAAGGUAGCCGUAUCGGAAGGUGCGGCUGGAUCACCUCCUUUCUAGAGUAGCAU
rnacentral:rRNA from 1 species